UAGUGGCGGACGGGUGAGUAACGCGUGAGAAUCUGCCUUCAGGAGGGGGAUAACGACUGGAAACGGUCGCUAAUACCCCAUAUGCCUACGGGUGAAAUGUUUUUCGCCUGAAGAUGAGCUCGCGUCCUAUCAGCUAGUUGGUGAGGUAACGGCUCACCAAGGCUUACGGGUAGUUGGUCUGAGAGGAUGAUCAGCAACACUGGGACUGAGACACUGCCCAGACUCCUACGGGAGGCUGCAGUCGAGAAUCAUUGUCAAUGCACGAAAGUGUGAACAUGCGACGCCGCGUGGAGGAAGACGGCCUUUGGGUUGUAAACUCCUGUCAGCAGGGAGGAAUUACGGAUCUGCUAAUAUCAGAUCCGUUUGACAGUACCUGCAGAGGAAGUCACGGCUAACUCUGUGCCAGCAGCCGCGGUAAUACAGAGGUGGCGAACGUUGUUCGGAUUUACUGGGCGUAAAGGGUCCGCAGGCGGAUCGGUAUGUCAGAUGUGAAAGCCCACAGCUCAACUGUGGAAUUGCAUUUGAAACUGCCGGUCUAGAGUACUGGAGGGGAGAAGGGAACACUUGGUGUAGCGGUGAAAUGCGUAGAUAUCAAGUGGAACACCGGUGGCGAAGGCGCUUCUCUGGACAGAUACUGACGCUCAUGGACGAAAGCUUGGGUAGCGAAAGGGAUUAGAUACCCCUGUAGUCCAAGCCGUAAACGGUGUGCACUAGGCGUGGGAGGCUUUACCCCCUUCCGUGCCUGAGCUAACGCAUUAAGUGCACCGCCUGGGGAGUACGGUCGCAAGAUUAAAACUCAAAGGAAUUGACGGGGACCCGCACAAGCGGUGGAGCAUGUGGCUUAAUUCGAUGCAACGCGAAGAACCUUACCUGGGCUUGACAUAUAGCUGCAUCCGACCCGAAAGGGACGGAGCCUUCGAGGGUGCUAUACAGGUGCUGCAUGGCUGUCGUCAGCUCGUGCCGUGAGGUGUUGGGUUAAGUCCCGCAACGAGCGCAACCCCUGUGUUUAGUUGCCAUCAGUUCGGCUGGGAACUCUAAACAGACUGCCUGUGAAAACAGGAGGAAGGUGGGGAUGACGUCAAGUCAGUAUGGUCCUUAUGUCCAGGGCUGCACACGUGCUACAAUGGGAUGUACAAUGGGAAGCUAAGCCGCGAGGUGGAGCAAAUCCUCAAAACAUCCCCCAGUUCGGAUUGUAGUCUGAAACUCGACUGCAUGAAGUUGGAAUCGCUAGUAAAGGCGUAUCAGCUACGACGCCUUGAAUACGUUCCCGGGUCUUGUACACACCGCCCG
rnacentral:rRNA from 1 species